rfam:Mycobacterium sp. VKM Ac-1817D, complete genome.
GAGCGGCGGCAACUACCCUGCGGCCACGGCUGCGGCGU